rnacentral:rRNA from 1 species
UACGGAGGAUGCAAGCGUUAUCCGGAUUUAUUGGGUUUAAAGGGUGCGUAGGCGGGCUGAUAAGUCAGCGGUGAAAGUUUGCGGCUCAACCGUAAAAUUGCCGUUGAAACUGUUAGUCUUGAGUGCAAACGAGGUAGGCGGAAUGUAACGUGUAGCGGUGAAAUGCUUAGAUAUGUUACAGAACUCCGAUUGCGAAGGCAGCUUACCGGCAUGCAACUGACGCUGAGGCACGAAAGCGUGGGUAUCAAAC